rnacentral:rRNA from 1 species
UACGUAGGGUGCAAGCGUUUAAUCGGAAUUACUGGGCGUAAAGCGUGCGCAGGCGGUGAUGUAAGACAGGUGUGAAAUCCCCGGGCUUAACCUGGGAACUGCAUUUGUGACUGCAUCGCUGGAGUGCGGCAGAGGGGGGAUGGAAUUCCGCGUGUAGCAGUGAAAUGCGUAGAUAUGCGGAGGAACACCGAUGGCGAAGGCAAUCCCCUGGGCCUGCACUGACGCUCAUGCACGAAAGCGUGGGGAGCAAACAGG